rnacentral:rRNA from 1 species
GCGAACCUUACCCUUGCAUCGUUGCCUCGGCGGGCUGCGCUCCCUCGGGGGCCCCCGCCGGCGGCCUACAACUCUUCUGCUUCUUAAGCGUUGGCAUCUCCGAGUAAAAACACAAACGAAUCAAAACUUUCAACAACGGAUCUCUUGGUUCUGGCAUCGAUGAAGAACGCAGCGAAAUGCGAUAAGUAAUGUGAAUUGCAGAAUUCAGUGAACCAUCGAAUCUUUGAACGCACAUUGCGCCCGCCGGCAUCCCGGCGGGCAUGCCUGUCCGAGCGUCAUUACAACCCUCAGGUCCUCGCGUCCUGGUGUUGGGGCCCUGCGCGGCAGGCCCCGAAAGACAGCGGCGGGUGCGUCCCGGAACCGAACGCAGUAGUUACUUCUCGUUCUGGCCCAGGGCGUGCUCCAGCCGUAAAAACCACUUAUCUUCAUAAGUUGACCUCGGAUCAGGUAGGAAUACCCGCUGAACUUAAGCAUAUCAAUAAGGCGGAGGA